UUCUGAAACUAGACUCACAUUAGGACACAGUUAUUGUCUACUUGCAGAGCUUUAGAAUAUCAUUCACUGGUCUUGACUCACUGGUCAGUACACUAAGUAGUGGUCAGACCAGAAAGCUCC
rnacentral:snoRNA from 1 species